UAAGGACAGCUUAGAGCGCGCC
rnacentral:misc_RNA from 1 species